rnacentral:rRNA from 1 species
CGGGUGCACUGAUCCGGCCGGGCCUUUCCCUCUGUGGAACCCCAUGGCCUUCACUGGCUGUGCGGGGGAAACAGGACUUUUACUGUGAAAAAAUUAGAGUGCUCCAGGCAGGCCUAUGCUCGAAUACAUUAGCAUGGAAUAAUAGAAUAGGACGCGUGGUUCUAUUUUGUUGGUUUCUAGGACCGCCGUAAUGAUUAAUAGGGACAGUCGGGGGCAUCAGUAUUCAAUUGUCAGAGGUGAAAUUCUUGGAUCUAUUGAAGACUAACUACUGCGAAAGCAUUUGCCAAGGAUGUUUUCAUUGAUAAGGAACGAAAGUUAGGGGAUCGAAGACGAUCAGAUACCGUCGUAGUCUUAACUAUAAACUAUGCCGACUAGGGAUCGGACGAUGUUAUUUCUUGACGCGUUCGGCACCUUUCGAGAAAUCAAAGUGCUUGGGCUCCAGGGGGAGUAUGGUCGCAAGGCUGAAACUUAAAGAAAUUGACGGAAGGGCACCACCAGGGGUGGAACCUGCGGCUUAAUUUGACUCAACACGGGGAAACUCACCAGGUCCAGACAAAAUAAGGAUUGACAGAUUGAGAGCUCUUUCUUGAUCUUUUGGAUGGUGGUGCAUGGCCGUUCUUAGUUGGUGGAGUGAUUUGUCUGCUUAAUUGCGAUAACGAACGAGACCUCGGCCCUUAAAUAGCCCGGUCCGCAUUUGCGGGCCGCUGGCUUCUUAGGGGGACUAUCGG